CGAGCGAACGGAGGGCGGGGCUAAAGCGGCGCUGUCAGUCAGCGACGUGAGGGAGAAGGAGCCAGAGAGGCCCCAAGCCCCGCCUCCUUGACUGACAACAGUGGCGCCCAAACGCCAGCCUUCAGACUUUUGAACUGCAUUUCCCAGAAUCCUUAGCCAUUGGCGAGCGUGGCCGAGGUUUCUGGGAGUUGGAGUCGAAAUAAGUCUGGCCUGUAAUGCCGGGUGUUUUGGACUCCAGCUCCCUGAAUCUCUUCUCAUUUUACUGUCGUGGCGUAGUGGACUAAAGCCUCGUGACUUGAAGGUUGGGUUGCUGACCUGAAGGCUGCCAGGUUCGAAUCCCACCCGGGGAAAGUGCGGAUGAGCUCCCUCUAUCAGCUCCAGCUCCACGCGGGGACAUGAGAGAAGCCUCCCACAAGGAUGCUUUCACAAGAACUGCAGGGUUUGGAGCCCGGCGUAACAAACCUUCCAAAAGGCCAGAUGAGACACAGACGGGUUGAAGGCAAAAUCAGAGGCUUUAUUCUCCAUGGUCAAAGAGGAUGUCAGCGGAGACAGCACUCCAAAAGAACUGACAUAUCACAGCUGUGGAAACAUAGGCAUAUUUAUUGAUUUUGACAGCUUUUUAAAAUACUGUGCUGGCUCCUGAUUUGUUUUAAAAGUAUUGAGCAAGGAUCUGUUCCCUGGCUGGUUCAGAGCUCCAUCAAACAUUAUUGAUGGUUGGUUCACACCAUGGUGAAAAACUUUAAUAAACUGUCAUUGGACUAUUUUGAA